CUUGGACAGAGCGGAUACUCCUUGCCUCCAAGCGAUCUCCUCCUCCCUCCCCCUUCACAAACACGUCCCUAGCGGCAGAAGGCUCCGAUCCGCAGCAGAGCCACUUCCACCCAGCGUCAGCAGGACAAGGGAUCGGGAUUUGACCUCAGUGUGCCAUCCCCUUCCUGCAUGGUGAGAAGGAACUGGACUUGGGGUAUAGAAAUGAGAACUUAAAUUCUGUCAGUUUAGUUGGAUGGAUGACAUUGAUUCAACCUCUUUUCCCCCAUGGUGACUGCAGAAUAUAUAAAUUCGGAACGCCACCCCAGUAGGGUUGUAUUGAGUUAUACCCUAGUCUCAUGGAAAUAAGUCUUUCAGUGAAACUUCAAAUCUGCCUUAACCAAGGCUCCCUAUCAUCAGGACCAGGACUAUCUGCAACAGGGAACAGCUCCAACCUGUAAGUGGCAUAACCACUCCUGUGGGAGGGACUGAGUCUAUAAAUACACUGAAUGCCUGCAGCCACAUAAGCACAGCUGCUGAUGCAGCAGAGCAGCCAGAAAGAGGUGCAUUUAAUUAACCAAGAGAAAGAAAAGGACCUGGGAUGGAAGUGGAGAGAUGGAAAAUACGGAAACAAGGUGUGCGCCUUCUAUACAGCUCACUCUAGGCUAGAUGGGUUGGAAGGAAAGAAGUCAAGAGGAAAAACAACUCGUUUGAAUUUGCAAGAACAGGUGGCUUUUCAAGCCCUCUGGCCCCCAAUCCAUGUGAUCCUAUUUAUCCUCCCUCCUAAGUUGCUAGACCUCUGUUUGGGUAGGAGCUGAUGGUCCACCAUUACCUGUCCUUAUAGUACCUGGCUGAGGUGGGGAUGGUGGUGGCGGUGGGAGGAUAAAUCUAUAGCGCAAGUGACAAGUGAAUGAGCCUGUUAUUCUGUUCCUUCAUCAAGGCUAGCUACUGCAGAACCCAAGGAACUGAAUCCAGAAGGUACACUUGCCUGAGAAGCUAAUACUUCCAGUUAUCCAGUGUCUUCAUAGUUGCCAGAAAUUAUUCUUCAUCCAUAGUUUACUGGUCUCUGUGGAGGUCAGAAACGACUUCCUUCAGUCAAUCAAGGAAGGUCACCAGAGGGCCACCUAAUUACUUACUCUCCAAUGCCCAAAAGACACCCCCUUCUGCACCCUACAACCUCCCUCUCCCCAUCAGAAAUUAGUUUUUCAUGGUAUAUAUUCUAAAGUUGGCAUUUGAGUUCUCUUUUCUAACGGGAUCUUGCAGCCUGAUGGCUUUUCUGGUUACAAUAACAGACCAGAGACCCCACACCCAGUUUAUCUUCCUGAGUGCAAGUGCCUGCAUCCUGAUGGGAUUCUCUACAUUGGACCUCUGACUGAGUCUGGUUCCUUUUACCAUGGUGAUUUGAAUUUAAUCUUCUGUAGCUCUUGGUGGAGCUGGAAGUGUCCCUUAUGAGAUUUGUUUUUAGUCAUCUCUGGUUCUUGUUCCCUGUCUGAGGUGUUUGAGUACAUGGAGUCGGUGAUCAGGGAUGAUGGCUUCCAAGAGCACAUCCUUCAAUCUCUAGUUUGGCUGCAGCCAGUUCCAGCAGGGCUUGAGGACAAGGUGGAUUCUUUCCUGAAAUCCCAGAAAACUAGGUGUCUGGCAUGAUGUUGUUAUAAGCCAGUAACAAUGCAGUCUUUGCAAGUCUCCCAGAUUGCAAAUUUUUUUUAUUGUGGAGGGGAGUGGUUCUUCCUUCUGGAACCUCUUUGCAGCCUGAGACAACAGUGUCACUUAAUCACCUGGAACAGAGGGAGAAUUCUUCCCACCUCAGAUGUUGAACUGUUCUGGAGCAAUGUUCUGAUCUGCAGUGGGUGGGUGCAUGGCACACCUGAACUGUGGGGUCCUAUAUGACCAGAAAAGUGGCAUAGGUAAGACCAGGUCUAUUUUCUCAGAUAAUACACCCUCCCUCAAGGGGAAGUUGCAAGGCUUAGUUUGUUGAUAUAUGUAAAGCAAUUUGAUAACAGUAAAUAGAGGAUGCUAUAGAAGUGCAAAAUAUCUUGUUCUUGUUACUAGGUAUUAAAACUAUUGAAAUUGCAACCUGUAUUUAACUGACAGAUAUAUAUAAUUU